rnacentral:lncRNA from 1 species
AAAUAUGAUAAAGAUUUAUCAAAAGCAUUUCCAUAGAAAUGUAUUUCAUUAAAAGACUCGGGAUGUCAUGUUCGUACAGAUCAAAAGCAUAAACAGUACAAUAUAAGCCUUACUACAUUAUUUCAUAUCUACAGGCCUAUAUCCGUAAUCCCUCGUCCAAAACAUCACAUCUAUGCUCAUGCGCCACUACCUGUAAUACAAGAAACUGAGUGGGUCAGGCUUGGGAGCCUGGUGAGCACAUAGGGUUUUCAACCCACAAUAAAUAAGUUUAUUAACUUCAUUAAAUUAAACAAACCCGAUUACCCGUUCCCGUUAUCCUCACAUUACGUCCCUAAGCAUCUAUCAUAAGGGACCUAUCCUAAGGAUUAUCAUCGGGACGGACACUACUGCUAAGGGGAUUCCUCAGCAAUAAAUGUCCUUAAGGCAACCAUGUGGGGGAUGGAGUACAUCUGGUGAGCACACAGUUUAAAUAAACACACAGUUCGAAUAAACACCUACAAGUUGCGAGCCUGCUAGUGUUCCACUUGACUGUCUAGAAUAGUCUGUGGUCAUCAUCUAUACUCCGCUAGAUGACUGGAUCAUCAAUAACAUCUAUAACGAGGCCUCUCAUUAUUUUAUUUUGUCACACAGCAACUAUUACAUCUACCCAUGUUUUACCAAACACAUUUUGUAGAUAUAAAAUACAUAUAUAGUUUAUAUCAUUUAAAAAAAAAUUAUAAAAUCGUUCAUCCAGCAUAGAUAACAAGUAUACAGAUAAUAUGCACACACAACACGUAAUUUAUAUAAGAUACUUCAUAUCUAUGUGUAAGCUGAAAGUAACUAUGCACUCACUUUAACGUUCGAUAGACGAAUAACGUUCUGGAAUGGAUGCGAGAAGGUCGAGUAGUUUUCCGUGAAUACGAAUCUCCGAGAAAAUUUAGUUUCCUAAGGAAAUAUUAAUAUAAUUAAUAUUUGGAGGGUAGUUUGGUAAUUAACCAAGGUAUAGUGUCCGUUAUGUUAAUUAAAUAAUUUAGUUGGACUAAAUUAUAAAUAUAAUUUCCAAAUGAGGGACCAAUAUGGAACAUAUACAUCCUAGUUUAGGUGUUUAGGACUAAAUUUGUAAAUAAUUUCCAUGGUAGGGGGUUUAAAAUUAAUUUCGUAAUGAAGUUUGAAUAGUGGAGGCAUGAUUUGUAAUCCAUUUAAAAAAAAGAGGGGUCAAUCUCAUAAAUUCAAAAAAGAUCAUGGGUUUUAUUGAAAUAAAGCAAAUCAAAGUUUGCACAGUGCAUCUCUUUCAUUCAUACAUCGUGAGUUACAGAUCCUCUUUAAUAAAUGAAAAUGAUUUGCCACAUGUCAUUCUUUCAUGCAUUAUGCCACAUGUCAUUCUUUCAUGCAUUAUGCCACAUGUCAUUUUGUCAUAAUUUUGAAAUAUUUAUUUUUCAUUUGUCAUUUACUUCAUUUUUCAUUUUUCAAUAUAUUAUUAAGUUAGUUUCCAUAAAUUAAACAUAUCAUAAUUACUAUAUUAAUGUAAAUUUUCAAAUUUCAAAUUUAAUUUUAAAUAAAUUUACAGUUUAAACCUUUGUAUUUAACAUUUUGUUAUAAUUAACACGUUUAGUAAAUGGGUCUAACAACUAAACAAAUACUUUUAAUUUCUUUCAUGUUUUUUUCUUAUAAUUUUAUAAUUAUUUUAAAGUUCAAAUUAAAAUAAACUUCCCAUUUAAUCAUUCGUAUUUAACAGUUUAUUUUAAUCAACCCGUAUAACAUACGGGUCUCACACCUAGUAUUUGAAUGAAAUGUAAUCACUUCCUCCUGUUUCUUCUUCGAUUAAGCACAACAAAGCAAAAUAAAUAAAUAAACUAGUUCUUGGCCAUUUGCUAACGAAUGUAACAUACAAAAAUAAAUAAAUUGUGAUGGUGGAGUACUCACAAAGCAGCGGCAACAGGGGGUGGUGGAAUGGUGGUUUAUGGUGAUGAUCUUCAAGGUAAUAUAGAGGGAGAUAGAGAUCAAGAUUGAGAGAGAGAGAAG